UACGGGGGGGGGAAGCGUUGUUCGGAAUUACUGGGCGGAAAGGGCUUGUAGGUGGCCAACUAAGUCAGACGUGAAAUCCCUCAGCUUAACUGGGGAACUGCGUCUGAUACUGGAUGGCUUGAGAUUGGGAGAGGGACGCGGAAUUCCAGGUGUAGCGGUGAAAUGCGUAGAUAUCUGGAGGAACACCGGUGGCGAAGGCGGCGUCCUGGACCAACACUGACACUGAAAAGCGAAAGCCAGGGGAGCAAACGGG
rnacentral:rRNA from 1 species